rnacentral:lncRNA from 1 species
AUGGGAAGUUCAAAACUACCUGCUAACCCCAGGGUUCUUUUGUGUGUGUGUCUAGAUUUCCAGUGGGUUGAAGGGGACGUGUGUGAAGUCCAGCUGAUGGUGUACAACCCCAUGCUGUUUGAGGUUCGAGUGCAGAACAUGAAAGCAAAGCAAACAUCAGAAACAUGGAAGAGAGGACCAAAAUCAAGGACAGCGGCUAUUGAUCUGACUGCCCCGUGCGUCACGUGUGCAUGGUCUCUGCAGUUCUCUGUGGGUUCUAAGAAGCCGCAGCCUUCCACUGCCUUGUUCUGGGCUGCCAGGUGUGUGGUGCAGGCUGGUCCUGCUCACGUUACUCUGUGCCUUGCUGCAGGGGCUGCUGACCAGUGGAGUGGAAUUCGAGUCGCGCCCCGCAGCGCUCUCCCUUCCGGCCGAGUCUGGUCUGUACCUGGUGACGCUCGUAGGGGUCCCACAGACGACUGGAACGAUCACCGUGAAUGGAACAGCAUACAAGCUUCCAGUGGACAUCUGAGCUCUGUGGGUUUUGGUGGCACCUUCAGUGUUCGAUACUGACCUGCUUGGUGGUGUCCUUGCCUUGGUGUCUGUCAUGGGAGAGGCUCAGGCAUUCCCUCUGCCAUCCUAAGUGGAGAACGAAGUGGCAGUUUGUGGCUCACAUGUGGGAACACCUUCCUCUGGCUUUUGAAAUAAAAGAAAAUUAGAACUAGCA